GGGGGGGGGUGGGGGCGGGGGUGGUGGGGGCGGGGCGGGCGAACGGGCGAGGGGCUUGCUCCUCUGACGUUGGCGGCGGACGGGUGAGUAACACGUGGAUAACCUACCGACAAGACUGGGCUAACUUCGGGAAACCGGAGCUAAUACCGGAUAAUAUAUUGAACCGCAUGGUUCAAUAGGGAAAGACGGUUUGGCUGUCACUUAUAGAUGGAUCCGCGCCGCAUUAGCUAGUUGGUAAGGGAACGGCUUCCCAAGGCAACUAUACGUAGCCGACCUGAGAGGGUGAUCGGCAACACUGGAGCUGAGACACGGUCCAGACUCCUACGGGAGGCAGCAGCAGGGAAUCUUCCGCAAUGGGCGAAAGCCUGACGGAGCAACGCCGCGUGAGUGAUGAAGGUCUUCGGAUCGUAAAACUCUGUUAUUAGGGAAGAACAAAUGUGUAAGUAACUAUGCACGUCUUGACGGUACCUAAUCAGAAAGCCACGGCUAACUACGUG
rnacentral:rRNA from 1 species